rnacentral:rRNA from 1 species
CACUCCUGCGGGAGGCAGCAGUGGGGAAUUUUGGACAAUGGGCGAAAGCCUGAUCCAGCAAUGCCGCGUGAGUGAAGAAGGCCUUCGGGUUGUAAAGCUCUUUUGUCAGGGAAGAAACGGUGAAAGCUAAUAUCUUUUGCUAAUGACGGUACCUGAAGAAUAAGCACCGGCUAACUACGUGCCAGCAGCCGCGGUAAUACGUAGGGUGCAAGCGUUAAUCGGAAUUACUGGGCGUAAAGCGUGCGCAGGCGGUUUUGUAAGUCUGAUGUGAAAUCCCCGGGCUCAACCUGGGAAUUGCAUUGGAGACUGCAAGGCUAGAAUCUGGCAGAGGGGGGUAGAAUUCCACGUGUAGCAGUGAAAUGCGUAGAUAUGUGGAGGAACACCGAUGGCGAAGGCAGCCCCCUGGGUCAAGAUUGACGCUCAUGCACGAAAGCGUGGGGAGCAAACAGGAUUAGAUACCCGAGUAGUCCCA